AACGAACGCUGGCGGCAUGCCUAACACAUGCAAGUCGAACGAGACCUUCGGGUCUAGUGGCGCACGGGUGCGUAACGCGUGGGAACCUGCCUUUAGGUUCGGAAUAACUCAGAGAAAUUUGAGCUAAUACCGGAUGAUGUCUUCGGACCAAAGAUUUAUCGCCUUUAGAUGGGCCCGCGUUGGAUUAGCUAGUUGGUGGGGUAAAGGCCUACCAAGGCGACGAUCCAUAGCUGGUCUGAGAGGAUGAUCAGCCACACUGGGACUGAGACACGGCCCAGACUCCUACGGAAGGCAGCAGUGGGGAAUAUUGGACAAUGGGCGAAAGCCUGAUCCAGCAAUGCCGCGUGAGUGAUGAAGGCCUUAGGGUUGUAAAGCUCUUUUACCCGAGAUGAUAAUGACGGUAUCGGGAGAAUAAGCUCCGGCUAACUCCGUG
rnacentral:rRNA from 1 species